UCGAGAAUUUUUCUCAAUGGGGGCAACCCUGAAGGAGCGACGCCGCGUGGAGGAUGAAGGCUUUCGGGUUGUAAACUCCUGUCAUUAGGGAACAACUGUCGCCGAUUAACUGUCGGCGGCUUGAUAGUACCUGAAGAGGAAGAGACGGCUAACUCUGUGCCAGCAGCCGCGGUAAUACAGAGGUCUCAAGCGUUGUUCGGAUUCAUUGGGCGUAAAGGGUGCGUAGGUGGUGCCGUAAGUUGGAUGUGAAAUCUCGGGGCUUAACCCCGAAACUGCAUUCAAUACUGCGGUGCUCGAGUACUGGAGAGGAGACUGGAAUUCACGGUGUAGCAGUGAAAUGCGUAGAUAUCGUGAGGAAGGCCAGUGGCGAAGGCGGGUCUCUGGACAGUUACUGACACUGAGGCACGAAGGCCAGGGGAGCAAACGG
rnacentral:rRNA from 1 species